rnacentral:tRNA from 1 species
GAGAGAGGCUCGACAGCAACGAUAACUGCUAAUUUUCGCCACCCUAGUUAAACCCCAGGGCUCCCUCG